CAUUCGUUAUUUUGUUUUUCGGUGAAAAUUGCCAUUGAUAUGGUAGGAAACUAGAAUAGCUAGCUUUUCCAUGUGAUAUAAUAAAAUUUCUCAACAUAAAGUUAUAAUCAUUGAAAUGUUGUUCAUCUUUAAGCAUGUGGAAGUCCAUUUGAAGACCUAAGAUGGAAUAUGUUUGGGUAUGAAUAAUUGCCACUGACUUUUCAGACCAUAUAUUUAGCCACUAAAUUGCCCCAGAAAAUUACACAAAGUAAUUGGAGUACAUUUCUUAUAUUUCAUGCAAUCAAAAUUCCAAAAUUUCCACAUAAUUCUGUCAUCAGAUGAUGUUGAAUUUCUUAAACAACACUGGCAAGCUGGUUAAAAAUUGUUGUUGAACAAUUUGAGUUGUAAUGUUCGAUCUAUACAAUUUUGUUAAAAUAAUUGUCAGCUUUUUAGAUGAAUGAAUUUACAAUCUGUUUUAGGAGUAAUCAUACAUGAAUUAAGAACAGCUGCAAAGUAGAAUGCGAACAUCAAAAGUCAAUGAUGAAGAACAAAAAUUAAGGUUGAUCCAUCUAUUGGAAAGUUGCUUGCUGCACCAUAUAUGAUAUUUGUAGCAAACAUUUACUUUUAGACUUUUGCCAAUCAGAAACAUUGACAAUUAUAUAUGGAAUUCUUUAGGCUGAUAGAUGCUUGCCUAAAUCCCCUCAUAGAGCACUCCAGUUUACUGGCUUUUGCAAUUUGUAAUUACUAAUUUCUGCACUCUUGCCCUUUAAUAUACAUAACCACCUAUUAACAUAUAUUACUUCCAAACAACUUACGAGCUGAACACACUAGAAUUUAACCUUUGGUCUGUGGGUGCUGUCAUAAACAAAGUAAUGACUCUAAGCAGGAGGCAGCAGUUGCCUCUUCUUCCAGAUUGACCUGCAUAAAUAUUUUCCAUGUAUUUAUAUGGGAUGCUGCAGCAGGUUCUAGCAGACUUCUUGUCGAGCACUCUUCAUCUCGUACCACAGCACUCUUCAUCUUGCUCCACUAGCUGAAGGAUCAAUUACACUCCAGAUCAUUCCCAGAAUGGAAUUUAUAGGGACUGCAAUGCAGAUUGUUCCUCUUGAAUUCGGAUUCAUCCAUCCAACACAGGGAAUCCAAGAGGCUUUGUGCAGCAGAUGUUCCACUACACUUAAGAGAAGGCCUUGGUCUUUAUGCCAUCCAAAGCUGAGUUUCCCUCCAUCACCAUACAGGUAGGAGAAGAUCUUUCUUCAUUGGCUCGGUUCUGAUAGAACUGAACUUAUGGUUCAUCAUCAAACAAGCACUCUUCUUAUGCCACAAGCCUUUCUCAUAUGAUUGUGUUAUCUCUAAGACUCCUUAUCUGCCUGGAGAUGGUUCAAUUUGAUGUGCUGUUGUUGUAAAUAACUUUUCUGUAAUGUCCAGUGAGGAUGGCAAAAAUAAAGGUCUGUUCUUCCAUAUGUGAAAACAUUCAUUUGACUGUAAGCCUAGUGUUCUCCUUCAGCUGAACUCUAGCAAGAGAUUUCCAUGAUGUGCAAGUCUCAUUCUGCAUCAGCUAUAAUUGAUCUAUUUUUUUCUCAGAUAUUCUUGUUUAGUGGUCUCCACCAACAGCUCUUCAAUUGGAGACCUUAAUAAGAGUUUUCUUUAAUGA